AUUUAUGGAUUUUGCUCAUGUAACUAUACUGUUUUUUGUUAAGAGAUUAUACAGGAAAAUUUAUCUCAAAUAUCCAAAACUGAUGUCAAAUUCACUAUUAAAACUUGUUGUUUAACUGCAUAUUAAUAGUUUUAAAACACUGAAAUGAGAUUGAUAUUUGUAUAUUGUUUUUAUUUUCAGUUGGCCCCUUAGCUGAUGUGGAUGCAUUGACUAGUGAAUUUAAGAGUCAGCAUGAUAUUGUGGAAAAAGUCAUUGCAGAUUACACUGCUAAGCUUAGAAGUGCAGGGGUUAAAGGUCAGUUUGAUGAGUAUUGUGGCGAGUCACCAGAGACCACUAUCCUGACACAGUGCGAGAAGCUGAAUUGUGAUAGUAUCGUAAUGGGUUCACGUGGGUUGAGUGGCUUUAAGAAGUUCCUCCUCGGUUCCUGCAGCAGCUACGUCCUCAAUCACGCUCCGGUUCCGGUCUCUAUCAUUCCUCUCAAGCAAUCAGAUGAGGAACAGCAGAAGAAACAAUAACGUAGUGGUCGUCGCUAAGAGCAAUACACUAAGAAACGAAAUAGAAAUUUAGGAAUAAAUAUUUCAUUUGAUCACUUUCACUUUCUUGUAGACUACAAUGUAUCAAGAUUAUUGAUUUUAUGGCAUGGCUCUGUGGUUAGAAAACUGACUUUUGUAACCAGUCGGCCAGAUAUAAGCUUCUUGAUCAUUGGUUGAAUGAUAAAUUUGAUCUAGGUAACAACCAAUAAGAAUCAAUGACUUUUGGAAUAUUAUUUAAGUCAGUUUUGUCAUCACAGGUCCUAGUCAUCCUGAAUCAAGGUGUAAUGUUUAGUGUUUAAUUAGAAUGUUUAGCACAUAUAGAAUUUCUAAUAUAGAUUUUAUUGUUUAAGAUAACCAUAUUAUACUAUAUCAUCUAAGUUUUAAUGUUUAAUUUAUUUUGAAUUGAUUAUGAAUGUUACGCAAGUUAAGUUUUUUUAUACAAACUUACUGACAAUUAAGAAAAUUUCAUUGUAAAAAAUUGACUAUUUUAUUCGGUAAAAGUGAAUUAUUAAAUUUAGAAGUUUAUUAAAUAAUUGUAAUGGUUAAUGUAGUUUUGUUAAGUUACCACAUCUUCAUCGUUUUCAUUAGUUCAUAAUUUGCCAUAGAAUCUCUGUAGUUUAUGUAGACAGAAACAGUAAUACGUUUCCAUAGAUAUACGUUUCCAUGUGGUUUUUUUUUAUAGGUAGAAUUGUGUCACCAUUUUAUGUAU